CUAUUAUACUCACAUUUAAAAAAAAAAAAAAUAAAUAAUAAACAGAAUUGAAAUUACAAAUGAAAUAAUAUAAAAAUAUUUGAAAAAAAAAAAAUUGAUUUAAUCUGGUACAAAUUCUUAUGUAUGUUGUGUAAAUUCACACAUGAUAUUUUCCGUCAUAAUGUGAAAAAAAAAAAAAAAUAUAUAUAUAUAUAUAUAUAUAUCCUUCGAAAAAAAAUUGUAUAAAUAUAUGUACAUAUGAGCACUUUUUUUUUUCAAAUUUUUUCUCUUUUCUUUCAAUUUUUUUCUCAUUUUUUUUAAUUUUUUUCAAUUUGUUUCUCUUUUCUUUUAAUUUUGUUUCCAUUUUUAUUUUUUCCAAGCUUAUUUUUUUUUGUUAAUUUUUUCCGCUUUUACUUCGCUUUCAACUUUUUUGAAAACACCGAACAUACACAAGAAAAAAUAGGCAAAAAGACAAACACACAGGCAAAUAUACAAACAAACAGACAAACCCACUUUUAACUGUAAACAAAUGAAAAAAACAAAAUGUCAAAUAACAAUUUUUUAAUUGACAAAACUGAAUACUCGUAUUUAUCCGAACUAACAUGUGACACCAUAAUAUAUGGGGAAAAUUUAUUUAAAGUCAUUUUUAAUAGAACAAAAGAAAAAGUUAAUGAUGAAGAAAAUAAUAACCCUCAUAACAAUAUUGUAACUAUAUCCUUUUGUUCAGACAUUUUACCAUUUUAUUGUAAAUCGGAAGUAGUACAUAAACAAAGUCUUUUUAGAUACCGUUUUGGACAUUCAUCUAUUUUAUAUAAAAAUUUUAUUUAUAUAUUUGGUGGAAAACAACAAGUGCCAAAACAAACGGUAAACUUUGUUAAGUUUGAUAUAGACACAUGUGAGUUGAAAACACUCGAUAGCCAUCAUACCCCAAUGGACCGAUAUUUCUUUACACUAAAUUUAAUACAUUCGGAAAAGUAUAGUGCAGAUUGUUUUGUUUUAUUUGGGGGAAAGAAAAAUAGAUAUAUAACAAAUGAUACUUACAUGUAUUGUAUUGAUAAAAAUAGUUGGGAAUAUCUGAAACCUGAAAUUUCACCACCUCCUAUAUACGGUCAUGUUUCUUUUCAAUAUAAUAAUGCUAUUUUGAUUCACGGAGGUAUGACCAUAUUUG
rnacentral:lncRNA from 1 species